rnacentral:rRNA from 1 species
AGUUUGAUCAUGGCUCAGGAUGAACGCUAGCGGGAGGCUUAACACAUGCAAGUCGAGGGGUAUAAUUAGCAAUAGUUAGAGACCGGCGCACGGGUGACUAACGCGUAUGCAACCUGCCCUUUACCGGGGGAUAGCCCGUAGAAAUGCGGAUUAAUACCCCAUAGGUCUGUCAGAUCGCAUGGUUUGACAGAUAAAGCUGAGGUGGUAAAGGAUGGGCAUGCGUGACAUUAGCUUGUUGGUGAGGUAACGGCUCACCAAGGCUGCGAUGUCUAGGGGUUCUGAGAGGAAGAUCCCCCACACUGGUACUGAGACACGGACCAGACUCCUACGGGAGGCAGCAGUGAGGAAUAUUGGUCAAUGGGCGAGAGCCUGAACCAGCCAUCCCGCGUGCAGGAAGAAUGCCCUAUGGGUUGUAAACUGCUUUUUCGCAUGAAGAACAUCCCGAACGAGUUCGGGACUGACGGUAAUGCGUGAAUAAGCACCGGCUAACUCCGUGCCAGCAGCCGCGGUAAUACG